rnacentral:misc_RNA from 1 species
UCCUUAUCUGCACGUCGUUCUGGCGAUGGCUCGCCCUUCAAUGGCUACUUCCCUCCCCUUUCCCUCGUAGCUUCAACAGGCGUCGUUUCCUAGUCAGAAAUUUUCCCAAUAAUCUCCUUGCGUGAAUUUCCUGCAAAUCACUUGACUUCCACAUCAUCACUUGACUGCCUUUUCUUGCGUGUUAUUAUUGCGCUUGAAACGGCCUAAAUUUUCCUAUAUGGCGAUCCGUACAUCCGACUUGUUAAGGCAAGUGCAGGAAGCUCACGAGUUUGAUCGUCACGCUUUGUUUCGCUACGCUUCUGCUAAUGUCGCUGGCUUCCCUGCCUCUCCCUCCACUUUCAUUGUUAAACAGUUCGGGCAUGGACAAUCGAACCCUACGUUUCUGCUAGAAGUGGGUACCGGAGUUUCGUUGAAACGGUACGUUUUGAGGAAGAAGCCUCCUGGCAAAUUGCUCCAGUCAGCUCAUGCCGUCGACAGAGAGUAUCUGGUUCUGCGGGCGCUGGGUGAGCACACACGAGUUCCAGUUCCUAAAGUUUUCUGUCUGUGUACAGAUCCGAAUAUAAUUGGAACUGCAUUUUACAUUAUGGAGUAUUUGGAAGGACGUAUAUUUAUAGACCCAAACCUACCUGAUGUAUCGCCUAAGAAAAGGAGGGAUAUAUGUCGUGCGGUUUCUCAAGCGCUGGCCUCUGUUCACUCUGCCAAUGUUGAUGCAAUCGGUUUAGGUAACUACGGGAAGCGGAAAGACUACUGUAAGAGACAGGUAGAGCGGUGGGCCAAACAAUAUCUUCUAUCUACUGGCGAGGGCAAGUCCAGGAGAAACCCUAAAAUGUUAGAGCUGGUUGAUUGGUUGCGACAACAUAUUCCCCUUGAAGAUUCCUUAGGGGAAACAGCUGGUUUAGUACAUGGUGACUUUCGGAUUGACAAUGUUGUGUUUCAUCCCACAGAGGACAGAGUCAUAGGAAUUCUUGAUUGGGAGCUGUCGACUUUGGGCAAUCAGAUGUCUGAUGUUGCUUACAGCUGCUUGAGCUACUUUGUGAGUAUUUCAUUAGAAGAUCUAGACGAGAGUGAUGGCUUUGAGCGCAGCAGCUUCCCUGAAGGAAUACCUUCUCUUCCAGAAUACCUUGCAGAUUAUUGCUCAGCUGCUGGAAGACCUUGGCCGGUUGAUCAGUGGAAGUUCUACAUUGCCUUUUCUUUGUUUCGUGGUGCUUCAAUAUUUGCUGGUAUACACAGCAGAUGGAUCAUGGGUAAUGCUUCUGGAGGUGAACGUGCCCGGUUUGCAGGGGAAAAGGCUGAUUCCUUCAUCAAAACUGCAUGGUUAUUUAUUCAAAGAAAAUCUGUUCUCCCCCUUCACCCACCAUCUGAAACAACUAGAGAGGAUAAUAUCAGGAUUUUUGGAAGUGAAAGCCAAAUUCAAGUAACACCUACGAGUGGGAAAUUUGUGCCUAGUGAGAAGGUUCAAAAUCUGAGAGACAAAUUGAUAAAGUUCAUGGAGGAUCACAUAUAUCCAAGGGAAAGUGACUUUUACAAGCUUGCACUGUCUACCAUGCGCUGGACAAUUCACCCAGAUGAGGAGAAGUUAAAGGAUCUGGCAAAAAGAGAAGGCCUUUGGAACCUGUGGAUACCGUUUGAUAGUGCUGCACGGGCAAGAGAAUUGAUCUUUGGCAGCGGAAAUGAUUCCCUAGUUGAAAACAAAUUCAAUCGUUUAUUAGGUGCUGGACUUUCGAACCUCGAGUAUGGAUAUCUUUGUGAAAUUAUGGGUCGUUCUGUUUGGGCACCGCAGAUUUUCAAUUGUGGAGCGCCUGAUACAGGAAAUAUGGAGGUAUUACUCCGGUAUGGGAACAGGGAACAGAUAAAGGAAUGGCUUGUCCCCUUGCUUGAGGGAAAGACACGGUCUGGCUUUGCAAUGACAGAGCCACAAGUUGCUUCCUCAGAUGCUACUAAUAUAGAAUGUUCCAUCAAAAGACAUGGAGACUCUUAUAUCAUCAAUGGGAAGAAGUGGUGGACCAGUGGAGCCAUGGAUCCGAGGUGCAAACUUCUCAUUGUGAUGGGAAAAACUGACUUAACUGCUCCUAAGCAUAAACAACAAUCCAUGAUCUUGGUAGACAUUAAUACUCCAGGUAUUACGAUAAAGAGACCACUGACAGUAUUUGGUUUUGACGAUGCACCUCAUGGGCAUGCGGAAAUAUUUUUUGAGAAUGUAUCCGUCCCUGCGAACAAUAUUCUACUCGGUGAGGGGCGUGGCUUUGAGAUUGCCCAGGGUAGGCUAGGUCCUGGAAGGUUGCAUCAUUGCAUGAGGCUAAUAGGUGCAGCCGAACGCGGCAUGCAGAUGAUGGUUCAACGGGCUCUUGAAAGACGAGCUUUUGGAAAAUUAAUUGCCAAACACGGUGCAUUCCUUUCGGAUGUUGCCAAAUGUCGAAUUGAACUAGAGAAAACCAGAUUACUGGUUCUGGAAGCUGCUGAUCAGCUUGACCGCCUCGGAAACAAAAAGGCUCGUGCUACAAUCGCGAUGGCAAAGGUCGCUGCACCAAACAUGGCAUUGAUGGUUCUCGAUACUGCAAUGCAAGUGCACGGUGCUGCUGGUGUAUCCGGCGAUACUGUUCUUGCUCAUCUCUGGGCUACUGCUAGGACAUUGAGAAUUGCAGAUGGUCCUGAUGAAGUACACUUGGGAACAAUCGCGAAAACUGAGCUAAGGAAAUCCCGGCUUUGAAAACCUUAUAUAGUAUAACUAUCGCGAAAUACAAUAUAAAAUAAAAAUCGAAAAAAGUGCUGCAUGAAAAAAAAAAUACAAGGCUGUAUAUACCACAGUCUUGUAAAAUAUAGAAAUCUAAAUACUGAUAGUGAAAAUUGUUUCAACAAUUUCACAACUGUCAAUGAAUGUUUGUGGAGUGGCUU